rnacentral:lncRNA from 1 species
AUGGGAUCUCAUCUUGUAUUUUGUUGGCUAACUCAUCCAUAACUAGGGUAAAUAGGUAGGGGCUCAAUACAGAGCUUUGGUGUAAACCCAUUGUUAUGGGAACUCUUUUGUAUCCUUUACUACUACUUUGACUCUAGCGACAGCUCCUUCAUAUAUGACAUUUGUAUAUUUAAUAUGAAUUUAUUUCUUCUCCUUCAUCCAUCAAAUAACCUUAUGAGGUACUCAAUCAUAUGCUUUUCUAAGUCAAUGAACACCAUGUGUAGAUCUUUCUUCCUUUCACGUUAAAUUUCCAUCAAACUUAGCACUUUUGUUGCGUUCCUACAUCUAGGCUCUAUUACUCUUUGGUCUUUCUCGGAGUUCCAUUAUAUGACUCCUUGAGUUUAAUGCCAACUCAUUUAGCACAACUCAUCAUCAUUAUUAUUACCAAAAUAAAAUAAAAGUAUAAGUAAAAAACGAUAAAUGUGUAUAAAUAAUAGCAAUAAGAAUAAUGAUAAUAUACACUCUUUGUCAAGUCUAAAACCUAUUCCCAACUAGUAUGUAUCGCCUAUAUAGUUUUUUCUUUUCCUUUGUGCCAUAUCUUUAGCUAAGUCAACACCGAUUCAAGGAUUUGUAGGUCUUUGGGGACAACUUCCUUCCAUGGGAUUUUACCUCUACCCCAUCCUAUUUUCAUACCUUCCACUACUACGGUUUCACACGUAUGGACCGGGAAUUCUAUAGGUCGACACAGGACAUGAACAAACCAUCUCAAGUGGCAUUUUUCUUAUUUUAUCCUCAAUGUGUGCUACUUUCACCUUCUGACAAAUGUGGUCAUUUUUAAUCUUAUCCAAUCUUGUGUGACCACACAUCUGUCUUAGCAUUCGUAUUUCUUUAAUACUCAUCUUGUACAAAUGCUUGAACUUUAGCAGCCCCACAUUCGUUACCAUACAACAUAGUAGGUCUAAUAGUUGCUUUAUAGAGCUUACAUUUCACCUUGGUAGGCAUCUUUCGAUUACAUAACACGCUUGUAGCACUUCUCCAUUUCAACCAUUUGAUUAUAAUAACAGCUUCAUCUAUUUGUUCUAUUCUCUUGAAAUAACGAGCCUAAGUAUCUUAAAAAUGUGGCACUACAGUUGUAUCUAGUCUCACCUCAACUUCGCUCUUUUCAUGCUACCUAAAAUUACAGUGCAUAUACUCAGUCUUACAUCUACUUAGCUUAAAACCCUUAUUCUCUAAGGUGUUUCCCAUAGCUCAAGAUUUCGGUUGACACCCUCGCUACUUUUGGCAAUUUUUAUAAGAUAAUCAGCAAAUAGCAUGUCCCAUGGGAUCUCAUCUUGUAUUUUGUUGGCUAACUCAUCCAUAACUAGGGUAAAUAGGUAGGGGCUCAAUACAGAGCUUUGGUGUAAACCCAUUGUUAUGGGAACUCUUUUGUAUCCUUUACUACUACUUUGACUCUAGCGACAGCUCCUUCAUAUAUGACAUUUGUAUAUUUAAUAUGAAUUUAUUUCUUCUCCUUCAUCCAUCAAAUAACCUUAUGAGGUACUCAAUCAUAUGCUUUUCUAAGUCAAUGAACACCAUGUGUAGAUCUUUCUUCCUUUCACGUUAAAUUUCCAUCAAACUUAGCACUUUUGUUGCGUUCCUACAUCUAGGCUCUAUUACUCUUUGGUCUUUCUCGGAGUUCCAUUAUAUGACUCCUUGAGUUUAAUGCCAACUCAUUUAGCACAACUCAUCAUCAUUAUUAUUACCAAAAUAAAAUAAAAGUAUAAGUAAAAAACGAUAAAUGUGUAUAAAUAAUAGCAAUAAG